rnacentral:rRNA from 1 species
GCUGAAUCCUUUGCAGACAACUUAAAUACGCAACAGGGCAUUGUAAGCGGCAGAGUGGCCUUGCUGCCCCGAUCCACUGAGAUCCAGCCUCAUGUCGCACGGAUUC